UGUACAGGAUGUUUAUUAGGGAGUAUCCUUGGAAGGGAGGAGGAAGAGGAAAUGGGAUUGGACCCUGGGGGAGCUGAGCUGAGAUAUACACCCUCUGAUAACCUCAGCCAAACCUGCAGGGAGCUCCGAAGCUAAAAUGGACUGUCAGAGUGGUCCCCGCCGUUAGGUUGAAGUGGCCCAGCCUUUCUAAUUCAUUCCAUUAGUCAGUCGUCACUGGACCUCAGCCAGCAAGUGAAGGGCGUAGCCUGGGCCCGGUGGCUUUCUGCAGGAGCUGACAGGACCUCCUUCCCGGUGCCACUGGAGAAGAUUAAGAAGAAAAUAUACAGUGUAAAAUGUUGGCAUUACAGAAGGAGUUUUCUUUAAGUAAAGUCAGGCUUCCAUUCAACAGACUCAGUGAGCUGGAUAACAUUUAGAUAUUGGCUAGGCAUCUUGAUUCCUUUGUGAUGAUUCAAGUCAGAUCUCUGUCUACAAGACUUAGAGGUCAUCACUUGUAGAAGUCAGAUCCUUAAAUGAUGACUGUCAAAGCUUGGAACACCUGCUUCAACAUUCUUUUGGAAGAAGUGAUUUUUGGAAUUGG